rnacentral:rRNA from 1 species
AUUGAACGCUGGCGGCAGGCCUAACACAUGCAAGUCGAGCGGAUGAAGGGAGCUUGCUCCUGGAUUCAGCGGCGGACGGGUGAGUAAUGCCUAGGAAUCUGCCUGGUAGUAGGGGAUAACGUCCGGAAACGGGCGCUAAUACCGCAUACGUCCUGAGGGAGAAAGUGGGGGAUCUUCGGACCUCACGCUAUCAGAUGAGCCUAGGUCGGAUUAGCUAGUUGGUGGGGUAAAGGCCUACCAAGGCGACGAUCCGUAACUGGUCUGAGAGGAUGAUCAGUCACACUGGAACUGAGACACGGUCCAGACUCCUACGGGAGGCAGCAGUGGGGAAUAUUGGACAAUGGGCGAAAGCCUGAUCCAGACAUGCCGCGUGUGUGAAGAAGGUCUUCGGAUUGUAAAGCACUUUAAGUUGGGAGGAAGGGCAGUAAGUUAAUACCUUGCUGUUUUGACGUUACCAACAGAAUAAGCACCGGCUAACUUCGUG